GUACCAGCUCCGGCUGUACACAUACUAAAAUUGGAACGAUACAGAGAAGAUUAGCAUGGCCCCUGGCGCAAGGAUGACACGCACAAUCGUGAAGCGUUCCACUUUUUC
rnacentral:snRNA from 1 species